AUGUCACUGAGAUGAAGCAGGUCUGUUGCCCUGGUGUCACCAAGGCUGUGCAUUUCUAAGGCUUGAUUUGACACCUGAUGCUUGGGAGUUAGAACCCUUGCAAGACUCAAAGAGUUUUGAGGGACACAUUCCUCAUGGUAAAUUCUCAAAGGGAUCCAACGGCUUGUCCACAGCAUGGGGGAGCAGAAAAUAAGAAACAUGGUGGGCAAGGGCUUAAUGAGAGCUGAAACACAGCAAACAUUACUACUGCAGUCAUCCACCAAUGAAGAGGACUGUAGGACGUGGAGACCUGCAGUGGAAAAGGUGUCCAGAUGUAUGUCAAGAAAUGAUGAGACAUCACUUCUUUUGUGGUUGAGAAAGAUCCCCUUCAUGACAAUCCAUCCUCCUCGUUCUUAAUUUUAAAAAGACUAAGUGCAGCUGAUCAAGAUUAAGUUUUGAAAACCACUGAAAAAGCUUUAAGCAUCCAGCAACAUUUGGCCGAAGAACAGAAGUGACACUUAUUCAGUAAAUUUAGCAGAGCUAAUCCAAACAAUUUGCCAUUAUCUUUGUGUGUGUGUGUGUGUCUGUGAGCAUACUUUAGCUUUUGGGUCUACUCCAGACUCAUUAAUCAUGCAGUAAAU